AGGGAAAAGAAACCAACAGGGAUUGCCCUAGUAACGGCGAGUGAAGCGGCAACAGCUCAAAUUUGAAAUCUGGCCCCUUUGGGGUCCGAGUUGUAAUUUGCAGAGGGUGCUUUGGCGUUGGCGGCGGUCUAAGUUCCUUGGAACAGGACAUCGCAGAGGGUGAGAAUCCCGUAUGUGGUCGCAUGCCUUCGCCGUGUAAAGCCCCUUCGACGAGUCGAGUUGUUUGGGAAUGCAGCUCUAAAUGGGAGGUAAAUUUCUUCUAAAGCUAAAUACCGGCCAGAGACCGAUAGCGCACAAGUAGAGUGAUCGAAAGAUGAAAAGCACUUUGGAAAGAGAGUCAAACAGCACGUGAAAUUGUUGAAAGGGAAGCGCUUGCAGCCAGACUUGCCUGUAGUUGCUCACCCGGGCUCCUGCCCGGGGCACUCUUCUGCAGGCAGGCCAGCAUCAGUUUGGGCGGUCGGAUAAAGGGCUCUGACACGUACUUCCCCUCGGGGUUGACAUACAGGGGAGCCGCAAUGCGACCAGCCCGGACUGAGGUCCGCGCAUCUGCUAGGAUGCUGGCGUAAUGGCUGUAAGCGGCCCGUCUUGAAACACGGACCAAGGAGUCUAACAUCUAUGCGAGUGUUUGGGUGUCAAGCCCGAGCGCGCAAUGAAAGUGAACGGAGGUGGGAGCCCCUCGGGGUGCACCAUCGACCGAUCCUGAUGUCUUCGGAUGGAUUUGAGUAAGAGCAUAGCUGUUGGGACCCGAAAGAUGGUGAACUAUGCUUGAAUAGGGUGAAGCCAGAGGAAACUCUGGUGGAGGCUCGCAGCGGUUCUGACGUGCAAAUCGAUCGUCAAAUUUGGGCAUAGGGGCGAAAGACUAAUCGAACUAUCUAGUAGCUGGUUCCUGCCGAG
rnacentral:rRNA from 1 species